rnacentral:lncRNA from 1 species
CUUUUCCUUUGCAGUCACAACUGCGCUGACUAUUGAGUACAAGAAGCCUAGUUUUUGGCCUGUCUCAGCUUCUGACAUGCCUUCCUCAUUCAGCUUAAUCAUUUCUAGCUUUUGAUUUAAAAUGGCACACAUGUAACCUUUCCUUUCACUUGAACAUUUAGAGGCCAUUUUAAGGUUAUUAUUUGAUCUCAUGUCAAUAGUGUUCUGUCUGAGGGAAUAGGGAGGUCCAAAGAGAGGAAUGGGGGGAGAUGAAGCAGCUGCUGGUUGGUGGAGCCAUCAGAACACACACAACAUUUAUGGAUUAAGUUUUCCAUCAUACAUGGGUGCGGUUUGUGGUGCCCCAAAACAAUUACAAUAGUAACAUCAAAGAUCACUGAUCACCGAAUACCAUUAAAAGAUGUAAUAAUAAUGAAAAAUUUUAAAGUAUUGUGAGAAUUACUAAAAUAUGACACAGAGACACGAAAUGAGCACAUGUUGUUGAAAAAAAAAAAAAAGAUGGUGCUAAUAGACUUGCUCAAAGCAGGGUUGCCAUGGACCUUCAAUUUGUAAAAAAAGACAGUAUCAGUCAAGUGCAAUAAAGUGAGAUAUGCCGGUAUAUGAGGCUUCGUUCUUGGCCCUGGUGGUGAGGUGGAUAAAAUGCAGAGGCUCUUUUCCCUGGAGAAACUCCUGAAUCCUGUGAUCUUAAGCAAGCUUUGUCCAAGAGAUCAGAUCAACACCUGAAUAGUGGAAAUUCUGGCUUGACCAUUCUGGUUGGUGGUUUUGGUCCUAGAGGUAUCCCUUAUGACAGAGAAGACUUGUAUUUCAGCUGAGUUAUCUUUAAGGUAAAAUGCUAUGCACUGAGUACUAUAUUUUAUUCAUUGAUACAUACUGAUCUGUUGAAGAUAUGUCCCUCUACUCAGGCAUCUGCUGACAAUAUCCUGUUCUCAUGGUUUGCUGGUGUGGCCUUCACCACUAGUGUGUUCUGAGACCAUCACUGUCACCCCCAUGCCUCACAGCUGCCUCCUUUACCAGGCCCUGUGGACUUGAAGUUCUUCUCAAUGCUUACCCGCUGCCUUCUGCUCAUAGGCAUGGUUCUGAUGCAUCCUAAAUAAGUCUGUAUGUGUGUCGAGGAGGGUACUGGUAGGAAGGAAAAUUAUUUGUGCAUAAAUGAAGGGAUAUAUUAUGAUAUAUCAACAGAUAAUAUUUUGUUUCUGCUGUUUCAUUUUCACCCAGAUUUCUUCUCUUUCUUUUCUCGAAAAAUGCUCUUUCUUAAACAGGCCUUGAUUUGGAAGCUGGUUUUCUGGAACGGUAUUUAUCAAGUCUGUUUGCACAGUAUCUAACUCUUUGGAUGCUUUAUCUUUUCUUGUGUCCCAUUUAAACCCUUUUUCUUUUUCUGAAAAUCAUGUUUUUAAAUCAGGAAAUAUUCAUUCAAUGUCUACUGUGUGAAAGGUAACUUGCUUGGCACUGUGAAAGAAAAUUAAAACAAAAGGUGUGCUGUCUUCUAAGAUCCUGUAGUUUAGGGGGAGAGACAGGCACAUAAAUAACUCCAAUAUGGGCCAAUCAUGUGAAGUAUUUUAGUGAAGAAAAAAAGUGUGUUUGUUUAUUUAUUUAUUUAUUGAGACAGAGUCUUGCUCUGUCACCUAGGCUGGAGUGCAGUGGCGUAAUCUUGGCUCACUGCAACCUCUGCCUGCUUUGUUCAAGCAAUUCUCCUGCCUCAGCUUCCCAAGUAGCUGGUACUACAGGUAAGCACCACCACGCCCGGCUAAUUUUUUGUAUUUUUGGUAGAGAUGGGGUUUCACCAUGUUGGCCAGGCUGUUCUUGAACUCCUGACCUUAGGUGAUCCGCCCAUCUUGGCAUCCCAAAGUGCUGGGAUUACAGGCAUGAGCCACCGCGCCCAGCCAAAAGUAUAUUUAGCUGGAUUAGGUAUAGAUCUACCCAAGGAGAUUGAAGGGGGCAGUCAUACAUUUUCAUCUAAAAUCUUCUUUCUUUCCUUAAAAUCUUACAAAAUCAAAUGGGUGGCUGCUUCUACCAAACUGCCCACUCACUUCUUACUUCUCAAUUAGUUUUCUCUCUCUUUCUCCCUCAAUAAAGAUAGGGCACUAUGGAAGAUUACACCAUUUCAAACACAUUCCAAAAUGCUGUCUCAGCCCAUGCCUGGCUGUUACUGCUUUAGGAGAAUCUGAUGAACAUGUUUAAACACUCUUAGCACCCGAGGUUGUCUGUGUAUAGUUGGGGAGCAGGUGGCCCGCCUGGGUAGAAAGUUAUUACCUAUUUUCAUUUUUGCUUUGAAGGUUAAAAAGAGUCUGAUUCUAAUAAUCGAUUUACCUCUUAAAUAGGGAAAUAAGUCUGACUCCUGGGAAAAGGACAUAAAUUAACCUCUGGAAGUCAUCAGAACUUAUUAGCACAUAAAUGCUUCUGCUAAAUCUGUCACCUUUCAUUGAGCGCUCUGCCCGUCAUGGGCUGUAUUUGAGUUUUGUGGUAUGCACUUAAGAUUUUUAAGUGUGAGAGACAUUUCCUUCUUUCAGGGUGAGGCAGGGUGACCCAAGGUCUCUGAAAGGUAAAUACCAACUCCCCUGUCUCCCGAGCGAGCGAGCGAGCGACGGGCCUGUUUACAGUGUACCACCCUUGUCUGCAGGGAACAUGCUUCACAUUUUCUUCCAGGUGACGGGCUGCCUGCCAGUGACACCGCACACCUCGAGAGCUGCACAGUUUCUGCAGCAAUAUCAUUCCUCUUCGGCUCCACCCUUUCCCUUUGAGCUUUACAUUUCGUCCUUGCUCUGUGCAGUGCACCAAUCAACACAAAUUCAGGCAACCCCUCAUUUCUCCCUCCUUUGAUGACCCUGAAGCUCAUCAUCUGGCCAGCCCAUCGCAGCCCAGAGCCAUGUGUUGGGCGUGCUUCUGCCGUGGCGCUGGGAAGUCUGUCUGGGUGCUGUAUUGUUUUAUAUUUUUCUCCCUCCUUCCCAUGGCACCCUUUCUGCUGUUCCUUUCCCACCUUAAAAAUAAAUCCAAGGAUAUGAAUAGCUUGAAAUGAACUAAAUCGGUCAUUGUUAUUACAGGAAAACUUUAUACAGAAUGCAAGCAAUAAUCCGCUUAUAUACACUGCGCUCUUACACAAUAACUGAUCCUUCAUCGCUCUUCUCUGCUUGGCAAACGGAGUAGCUACCUUCUCAUUCCCACAGUAUUGUGUAAACAUGAAAAGAAGCCAGAAGAGGUUCCUUUUAUUUUGUUUUUGUUUUUUUGUUGUUUGCUGGCUUCAGGCUGGGCCCCAGCAGAGGGCGAGUGGCAGGAGGACACUUGAGUGGAUUCUGCAAAAAGCCACACAGCUUUCCUCUGAUGGAUCAAAAUGGUAAUAUUGAUUCUAUAAAAGUUUAAAGAGGUAUUAUGGCUGAUUGGCAGGCAUCCCUUUAUUGAAGACAUAUCAAACCACAGGAAAAACUACUGGAACAGCUACUAGAACCCUAUGGUUAAUAUAAAGUUUCCCAAAUUCUGAAAUUAAGCCUCCUGGCUGCCACCCUGGAGAUAUUAAACAAACUGUAUAUCUUCUAUGUGCAUCACUUAUUUGUAAGGAUAAUUAUAUUCUUUUUCUGUUUUCCUACACCUUCUACUUCAGAAUACACUAAAAACCCCCAAGUCACUUGAGCCCAGGAGUUCAAGGCUGCAGUGAGCUAUGAUUGCAGCACUGCAUUCCAGCCUGGGUGACAGAGAAGGAUCCUCUCUCAAAAAAAAAGGAAAAACAAAAAUAAAAAUUCCCAAGUCAAACCUUUAGUAAGAAUUAGACUAAAUUAUUAAAAGCAAUUUUGGAAAAAGAAUUUACAAAUGCAAAAAGAAUGAGCAAUUUACCUAGAUACUUUGAAUUUGCCAAAUGAAGCUGAUGCUUUGCAAUGAAGCCUUUCUCAUGCAAAUCUGAAAUUGCAGAUGAACUCCAAAUGGGAUCCCUGAUCUGUGAUAGGAACAGAUGAAGAAAUGAAGCUUUUUAUAGUAUUUUGAUGAACACUUUAAUAUUUCUCAUCUGUCCUUGAGAAAGACAUAAUACAUGCUAGCCUAGGGCUUGCUACAUUUGGUAUUGCUGUUUUUAGUCGUUAGCAAAUUUUCUCAAUGCUUUGGCUCUUUUUUUCUUUCUUUUUUUUUUUUUUUUUGAGACAGAGUCUCUCUCUGUCGCCCAGGCUGGAGGCUGGAGUGCAGUGGCGCAAUCUCGGCUCACUGCAAGCUCUGCCUCCUGGGUUCACGCCAUUCUCCUGCCUCAGCCUCCUGAGUAGCUGGGACCACAGGCACCCGCCACCAUGCUUGGCUAAUUUUUUGUAUUUUUUUUAGUAGAGAUGAGGUUUCGCCGUGUUGGCCAGGAUCGUCUCGAUCUCCUGACCUCAUGAUCCACCUGCCUCGGCCUCCCAAAGUGCUGGGAUUGCAGGCGUGAGCCACCGUACCCAGCUAAUGCUUUGGCUCUUAAUUAGGACUAAGAAACAUUUAGCAAAAGCUAAAGAGUCAGCUGGGUAAUUAGGAAGUCAGGUCAAUCAGUUCAACCUUUUCUAUGUCCCUGCUGCAGGCAGGGCACUGAGUUGAGCGUCAUGUAGGAUAUAAAGGUGAGUAAGAAAUAGAUGCUUUCCUCCAGGAGCUAGGAGACUAGCUAAGAAUCUAGGAUAAGGACACAGCACUUCAAUCGAAGACAUUAAGAUGGUACAAAUAAAGUGUGUAGGUUCUAUUUAUGGUAACCUAGGAAACAUAAAAGCAAAGGAGGAGUUUUAAAAAAUACUCGCUUGGAAAUUAACAUUUCUCUAAGAUCAAUGGUCAGUUCUCUUUAUUAGUCUAGAGGCAGCAAACUUUUCUUUCCUGGGGCCUUAUCCACAGCAGGUGCUUAGGUUACUUUAUUAGAAAUAGCAAUAGUUUAUGAGAACUGGACAGAAAGACUGCCACCUUCUUCACUCUCUCUAGCAUCAGUGCAAAAUCAUGUGGAGGUUUGAUUGUUAAAAAGCUACUAGACAUGGUUUUGUGGUUUGCAUUUGACCUAAUCUACAAGAUUGUUUUAGAGCUAAAUGUUUUGAGGAAGGAUCCAUAGAUCUUAAGAAAUAAAAGAACUAUAAGCAAAUUGAUCCAACUCCUUGUUUUUAAAUAGAUAAGGUGUCUUUAGUCCCCAUUUGAUGGACACUAUUCAGAGAUUGAAUGCAUUGCUGGAAGUUGCAUGUGGUAUAAGCAUAGGAAGACUGGACUCCUGGUCCUUUGCCUCCCAGGACAGCGCUGUUGCACCACCUCUUGUAGAUGAGAAAAUUAAAACACAAAAUUCCUGCGCAUUGGUAGAAAACUCUUGUUUUUGUUUUCUUGCCUGUUAAUCCAAACCUCUAGCUAUAAAAUAAUAUUAUUCUUGGAGAUCUUAAUUGUCAUUAUUUAUGUAAGAUUUAUACCACAUCUAUUUCCAAAAAAAUUUUUAAAUACAUUGCAACCUUAUAUACACUACAGAAUAAAACAUCUAGAAACAGAACAACACCCUUUUUUUCUGAAAAUUAGACAGAGUUAGCAAAUAGCUGACGGGCAAGCAUAUGUUAUUCCACUCCAGGAUGGAAUUUAGUUUUGAAGUUUCUUUGCAGAUGAGAUAAAAUUAUAAGUGUGUGAAACUAUAUUAUUCCCUUACCUAUUGGCUUUAAAUUGGAUUUCCAAAUUUAGUAGAACCCAAAAAUGAGAAGAAAGUGUUUUUUAAUAGACCUUGUAGAUGAUCUUUCAAGUUUUGACCUUGUAUAAAGCAUUAGAUUAAGAAACAAAGUAUAAAAAACAAUUACUCUUCAGUACUUGUGUGCAUGUGUUUUAGAAGGAUAAUGGCAGUGGGCACAUUUCUGGACCUGCAGCAUGGGUGGGGAAAGUUUCUCUUUUGUGGGAGGGAUGUCUAAAGUUUUCUCUAAUUGUUUUUAGAAUACCUAUUUUUUUUUUCUAGAAAGAACGUCGGUCCUGGCAGUCUUUCAGCCACAAAGCUUUGAGAAAUGGGGCUAAAUAUUAAUAAUAACUGCUUGGAUUAUAAUGAGGAAUCAAUCAAAACACAUACUGUUGAUGAAGAUGCCUUGAACACCGUGGAUGCUGUAGAAUAAGGGAUUAUGACUACAGCAAUUCUUGGCUCCCUUCUCUGUUUGUUUAAGGGUUACACAGGCUUUGUUUAAUAUCUCCGUGUCUCAGUCCUUUCGGUUGAAGCACAAGGCAUGCUUCAGCCACCUGAGAUUAACUGCUAAACCCUGCAGCAAGCCAGCAUCUCCUCCCUGCUGCCUCUCAUCCGUCAGGAUCUGCUCUGGAAAUGGGCCAGUGGUGACGUGUGGGAAUGCAGCCCUUUGUGUUUGUUUUUGGUGUUGGAUUUGGUGGCCUUGGUCACGGAUUGGCUUCCUUCUUUGAAACUGAACAUCUUCCAUGCCUUUGUGAUUGAGUGACAAAAGUUCAACCUGCACAUGCCAAAAUGAACAGCCUAGAAAACUGAUUAUGGUUUCAGGACCAGCUUUAAAAAAAAGCAACAAAACCCUUCCAGUCACCCAGAGUUCUAAACAUAAUCGGUUGGUUCCCAGAAGUACAAUAAAAGGAAGCCAGAAGUAUUUUAGUCCCUAGUUGUUUAUGAAUCAACCUGAUUUUCUUUUUCAGACUUUGAAGGUCACAGAAUCAAAUCAUGUGGAGCCAUUUCCAUCAGUCCUCCUACCCACCCUUUCUCCCCUGUUCUCUGUUGCAAGUAGGGUUUUGCUAGGUUUAAGUAGAACAUUGCUCAGAAUUUCCAGGGGUUCUUAAUUAAAGCAGGUUUCUUUUCCAAGAAAGCUGCCUUGGAAAUUACUGGAAGGGAAGCAACAGUGACAAGUAAAGCAGGCGUCAGAAUACCUUCAGUGUACCCCAGCCCUGCUCCUCCCCUAGAGCACAGGCUCAGGAGUUCUGCUGGCCUUAGGUAGAAGCCAAGGAAGAGGGGCCUGCACUCAUCUUUCUGAGUAAGCCAGGGCACUUCAUGUCUGGGAUAAAGCCAGCAGGGCAUGGGACAUGGCAUGGAACUGAAUUUAUAUAGGAAGUAGAC